UCAUCAGCACUUGCUGUUUUUCACCUUCCUAGUUUUUGCCAAGCAGAUAAGCCAGUAUUCCUGUGUGGUUCUAAUUUCUCUGAUUAAUGGUGAGGACAAAGAUUUCUUUAUAGACUUAAUAGCCUUCUAUGAAUUGCCUUUUUGUGUGUCUUGCUUAUUUUCCUAUUGGAUUUCCUGUAUUUUUCUUACUGAUUGUAGGAGUUGCUUGUGUAUUGGAUAACAAGCCCAUUUAUUCGUAAAUAAAGGAAGCUUUGUAAUGGCCAAAGCCCUUUAGCCUGUUAAAGCAGAACUGUCACCAUUGUAUAUUAUUUUAUUUUGAAUGGGUCAUACAUAUGUAUAAAACAUACACGUAAAAUGUGAAUAAUAGUUAUAAAUAAAGACUCAGGUGCCACUGCUCCAGUGAUGGCCUCAACACCAUUUAUUAUUCGUCUCCGACUGGAGAUGUCACCUUUAGCAUACACUAUGGACAUCUGUAUACUUAGAUCUAUUUCUGGACUUUCUAUUUAAUUUUCCAUUUUUGGAUGUCGUUAUCAAGAAUGAAUGUUGAUUUUUUUUCCAAUGCCUUUUCAGCUUAGAUGGAGAUGGUCAUACGACUUUUCUCCUCCUGCUGAAUCACUCUUUGCCUGCCUGGAAUAAGCUCCCUUUGAUCAUGUUAUCUCAUUAUUUUAAUGUGCUGUGGAACUCUUCUGGCUGUUAUUUAACUUAGGAUUGUCCCUCAACAUCUCAGGUUGGUGGGCAUCGCAAGAUGUUCCUGUCUUCAAAGAAUUGCCCUUGGCCAAAUGGAAGCAGCCUGGGCCAAUCAAUCAUUUACACAUUCCCAACUGGAGACAGCUCACAACUCAUAACUUGCUGGCAUGGGAGCGCAGAGGUCUAGCCCUUGGCUUCAAGGGUCUCACUCUGUCACCCAGGCUGGAAAACAUUAGCAUCAUCUCGGCUCACUGCAGCCUCCAAAUCCAGAGCUCAGCUUAUCUUCUCACCUCGGCCUCCAAAGCAGCUGGAACCACAUGUGUGCACCAACCUACAUGGCUAUUUUUUUAAAAAAAAUUUUUUUGUUUUAUAGAAAACGAGUCUGGCUUUGUUGCCAAGGCCGAACUCCUGGGCUCAAGCGAUUCUCCACCUUGGCCUCCCAGAGUUCUCAGAUAACAGGCGUGAGUCACGGCGUCCAGUCUUUGGUUCUAUUUUAAAGGUGAAUGGAAAGGCUCUGCUCAGCGUUCAAACAACACUGCCCAACCUCUGUGCAAAGAGGCGGGGAGUUUUGUUAACUGACACAAUCAGCAACGGAUUUGAACAGAAUCUGCAAGGAAG
rnacentral:lncRNA from 1 species